rnacentral:rRNA from 1 species
UACGAAGGGUGCUAGCGUUGCUCGGAAUCACUGGGCGUAAAGGGUGCGUAGGCGGUUCUUUAAGUCAGGGGUGAAAUCCUGGAGCUCAACUCCAGAACUGCCUUUGAUACUGAAGAUCUUGAGUUCGGGAGAGGUGAGUGGAACUGCGAGUGUAGAGGUGAAAUUCGUAGAUAUUCGCAAGAACACCAGUGGCGAAGGCGGCUCACUGGCCCGAUACUGACGCUGAGGCACGAAAGCGUGGGGAGCAAACAGG